AUGGGUGACAAAGGGUCCUGCAACGGGUAUUGUAUUGAUCUCAUGUAUUGUCUCUUUGAGCAUCCCAAUGGCAAGAUAAAUAUUCCUCACAUCUUGUGGCAUGAGAUUCGUCUUGCUAGUCUUCAGUACAAGUGGGCCUUUCCUCAUGCUCCUUUUCUUCAGGAUUUCAUUGAGAGUAUUGCUCCUUUUCCCAUUGCUCGGACUCAUGUUCAUCCGCGAUGGGUCAUUCCACCUCAUAUGGCGGAUGAUUGGGCUCCCAAGAAAUCCUCAACUGCACGACAGUCUGCUGCACAGUCUCUCCCUAUUCCCCCUAGCUCGGGGUCUUUUGGACGCAUUGCUCGCUUUCUCAGGAAGGCCCAUUCUGCCAUGAUGAAGGCCUUCUCCUUCCACUAUGUUCUCAAAAUCAUGAUGUGUUCACUCGCAUGGUCUCUUCUAAGAAUGCUCUGA
rnacentral:rRNA from 1 species